rnacentral:rRNA from 1 species
GACGUAGGGGGCGAGCGUUGUCCGGAAUUAUUGGGCGUAAAGAGCUCGUAGGCGGUCUGUCGCGUCGGAUGUGAAAAUCCAGGGCUCAACCCUGGACCUGCAUUCGAUACGGGCAGACUAGAGUUCGGUAGAGGAGACUGGAAUUCCUGGUGUAGCGGUGAAAUGCGCAGAUAUCAGGAGGAACACCGGUGGCGAAGGCGGGUCUCUGGGCCGAAACUGACGCUGAGGAGCGAAAGCGUGGGGAGCAAACAGG